CUGGGGAAAGGUCUCUUCUGGAAAUCUUUCCUUUUGGCUCUUUCUUGUGAACUUAGAGCUGGAUACAGUACAUGUGAUCUUCAGAUGUUGUUCACCAGGAGUCUCCUAGGCACGUGCUAUUUGCAGGAAUUUGAGUGCUCUUUGGCCACGUGGGACAUGAGGUGCCAGUUGAG